AUACCAUAGAUGUCAUGGUUAUUAAUAAAAUAAAUUAUAGACUUUAAAUUUUAUAAAAAAUAAAUAUAAAUAGAUAUGUAACAUCUAUUUGAUAUUUUUCUCAUGUUGCAACGCACGGGCAUAUUUUGCUAGUAAGUUUUAAAAUAUACUGUAGACAAAUGAAAGUCUGCAUUUUUUUGCUAGGGUUAAAGUGGUUAUUUUACCAUUGACUUAACAGUGUCAAGUGCCAAAAAUAGACGGAAGGCCGUAAAAGAAAGAAAAUUUUGUUUUAGGCCAUACGAGUAAGUUCAAAAUAAAAAGGGCCAUGUAAGGAAGAUCAUUUUUUUUCUAUGGCCAUAUAGGUAAAUAUCUCACUUUAUUAAGCCUAAUUAAUUCAUCAUUAGCAUAUAUAUUAUUAUAGCACUUUAUUAUCAAAAUCUGGAUUAAUUAGACUUAAAAAAUUCAUUUCACAAAGU
rnacentral:lncRNA from 1 species